rnacentral:lncRNA from 1 species
CGGAUGCUCCCUUCUUUUCUGGUCCAGCUACCUCCCACCUCGCCUUCCUUGACCUCAGGUGGGGUUUCCCUUCUGCAGAGCAGGGAUGGAGGCCGGGGUCCUCCCAGCAGAGAAGCCCUGUGUUCCUCCUCUCUUGCCUGAGCAGCCCCACCCCCAAGGCUGGCAGAGGCUGGCCCUGAAGCUCCUGAUCGUCUCCCUCCGGUCUGACUGCCUUACCUUUUUAGCCUAAAUCCCAGCCCCUCCUUUUAGGAACUGUCAUCAUGUUUAAUCCUGCCUGGGGGAGACCCCCUCCACCUUCCUAAAUGGAAGGUAUUCCAUUACAUGCUAAAGUGCAGUUUAAGUAGCUGUAAGGAAGUGUGACAGAAAGUCUGUCAGAGUGGGGCUGGACUUGCCAAAACUUGGUGUGAUGUGGGGACUCUGUCAACGUGCUCCUAGGGAAACCUGAGCUGAGCUGAGGCUGGGGCUGGCAGGAUGUUCAAGGUGAGCCCAGGACCUGCCACACUGUGCCAGCCUCGCCCAAGCCACCCCCCAGCCAGGACGCGGUCUUUCCUGACUCAGCAGGCUGAGGCACCUGAGGCUUUCAUUUUAAUUAUGAACCACUUCAAAGCCUUUCUGGAAGCAGUCUCUGCAAUAACCAACCUGGGUUCUCUCCUAAUGUGGGGAUUGUCCUGGAGCCCAGGCCUUCCAAGGCUCCUCCGCCCGCCAACAUCACCUACCUCAUCUUCCUCUUCAGCACAUCCCCAACAUUGUCUAAGCGGUAACUCACCUGAGCAAAGCACUUGACACGGAUUCAUUCAUUUACUCCUCACAACAACCUGAUGAGAGCACUGAUUAACUUCAAAGGGGAAAAACAAUAACCUUUACAAUGGAUAGAUCUGGCAGGAACCAUGUUAACCAAGUGAUCAAAGGUAGCAUCACCAAUAAUGGGGCAAACCGACAUCCUGUGCUUCCCCAUUGAUGCGCCGAGAAGGACACAGCAUUGCUCAUGCAGCAUCCUUGUCAAAAAUGCGUAAACGGAAUCUAAUCAUGAGAAAACUGCCAGACAGCCAAACUCUUCAGAAAUGUCAAUAUAAUGAAAGGCAACAAAGAUUGAGAAUAACUUUACCAGGUUAAAGAAAACUAAAAAGAUAUGACAACUGACUGCAACGCAGAAUCCUGGACCAGACCCUGGAUCUGGUCAAAAGAAAAAUGCUUUAAACGACAGUAUUGGGACAAAGGGUAAAAUUUGAAUGUGGAUCAUGUAAUAGAUGAAUAAUAUAUUGUAUCAAUGAUAUGUCCGUGACUUGGUAAUUGUUCUGAGGAAAUGUAAGAGAAUAUAUUUAUUAUUUAUUAUUUUUUUUUUUGAGACCAAGUCUUGCUCUAUCACCCAGGCUGGAAUGCAAUGGCGCAAUCUCAGCUCACUGCAACCUCCACCUCCCAGGUUCAAGCGAUUCUCUUGCCUCAGCCUCCUGAGUAGCUGGGAUUACAGGCGCUCACCAUCACAUGCCCAGCUAAUUUUUGUAUUUUUAGUAGAGAUGGGGUUUUACCAUGUUGGCCAGGCUGGUCUUGAACUCCUGACCUUAGGUGAUCCACUCACCUUGGCCUCCCAAAGUGUUGGGAUUACAGGCUUGAGCCACCAAGCCCGGCCUGAGAAUGUAUUUAUUCUUAAGAGAUAUGGGCCGGCCAGGUGUGGUGGCUUAUGCCUUGAAAUCCCAACACUUAGGGAGGUUGAGGCGGGAGGAGGUUGAGCCCAGGAAGUCAAGAAUCAGGAGUUGGAGACCAGCCUGGACAACAAAGUAAGACCUCGUAUCCACAAAAUAAAAAAUUAAAAAAUUAGCUGGGUGUGAUAGCAUGUGCCUGUGGUCUCAGCUACACAGCAGGCUAAGGCAGGAGGAUCGCUUGAGCCCAGCAAGUCAAGGCUGCAGUGAGCCGUGAUUGCACCACUGCACUCCAGCCUGGAUGACAGAGCAAGACCCUCAAAAACAAACAAACAAACAAACAAAACUUAAAUAUAUGGUAAAAAGUAUUCACAGAUAAAGGGUUAUGAUGUCUGAAACUUAAACUUAUAUUCAAAUGAUGGCUCAUACACAAAAACUAAAAUGAUUACAUCUAUGCAUGAAAUGCAUGUGUUUUUAUAAAGAAGAGAGAAUAAAAUGUAGUAAAAUAUUCAUUAUCAGUGAAAAGGUAUUUGAGAGUUUAUUAUACUAUUCUUUUAGCUUUUCAGUGCGUUAAAAUUUUUUCAAAAUAAGAAGGUUGUUAAAAGGGAGUUCCUGAAUUCACACAAGUGGUACGUCCAUCCUGGCACUUACUAGACCUUAACUGAGGCCAGUUCCCACCUCUGCAG